CGGGGCGUAGCUUAGCUUGGUAGAGCGCCUGCUUUGGGAGCAGGAGGUCGCUGGUUCGAAUCCAGUCGCCCCGA
rnacentral:tRNA from 1 species